GGUGGACGGACGAAAGGGCUGAGGCCUAGGCCGUCGGCUACUGAGGCUAAGGCUGAGUCACGGAGGCCGCUCGGGCCCGAGGCCUCGGGAGCCACCAUGGGGAGCGUCCCGUGGCCCGGAACCCUCUGUCCCCCCCCAUCCCCCGAAGCCCCUUCCCAGGGCGAGAGCGUUUUAGAUUCAGCUCACUCCUGCUGAGCUUAGUGACUGUGUGACUGCUUGGGCCAGUCCUUCCACCUCCGGCUGGUGGGGUGAUCACCCGUGUGCCCCCCACAAUUAUUGACGUGCAUAUGUAAUGUAUAUAAAUCCUAGCCUCUUUUUAUACGUAUAUGGGUCCUGGGUGACUCAGGGUACGGAGCGCGAGGCUGGAGUCGGCGAGACGGGUUCAGAUGCGAUCUUAGACACUUUACUAGCUGUCACUCUGGACUAAUCAGUUCACCUCCGUCUGCCUAAGUUUCCUCAACUGAAAAAUGGGGGUAGUCAUGAUAACCACUUCCCGGGGAUGUUGUGAAGAUAAUUGCAAAGUGCUUUGUAAAACUUAAGUGUUCUGGGGAAAUUCUGGAAUUGGUUCAUAUGUAAGUAAGCCCACGAUAUGUGUAGUACAGCAAAAUACUUUGCAAACUGAAAACAUUGUAUAUAAAUUGAUGAUUAUCCUUAGGGCAGAAAGGGGUUCUAGAGCUCAUUCAGAUUGUAGUCAGGUAAGGAAAGUAAGACCUCCAACAGAAAUAACUGCAAUGUGCAGUAUUGAAGAAAAAGAGAAUAAAGAUAUUAAAAAUGCUGGAUGAGAUCGAAAGACUUAAGGCAUUUUUCUCUAAACACCUUUACCUCUGAAAGCUAUACUGAAAAUCCUCACCAGCUCCCUGAGAGGAAUUUGCCUUUUGGAAAAUAAUUCUAAUUGUGUGUGUGUGUGUGUGUGUGUGUGUGUGUGUGUACAUACACACAAAUAUGUGUGAGUAUAUUGUUUGGAUAUCAUUUACUGACAUUGUAAAAUUCAGAUAUAAUGUGGGAUCUGCAAAGUGAUUAUUUUGUAAGCAUCAGACCAGUUUGGAGUUGUUAGUGAAUUAAUUGUAGAAAUGGAGAGGUAGAGAAAUAGUCACCAAGAUAAUCAAACUCAAGUACUUAUUUAUGUUUGGACUGCCCAAACUAUCAUACUUAAGUGAGUUUUUAUAUUUUCAAAUAUAAACAAACAUUUUUGGACAUAUUUUCUUUGACCCUCAAAUUCAGAUUAUUUGUUCCAAGAAGGUAGACUCUGCUUCUAUUUGAACUUAGCUGUAUAUAUACAUAGAGUUCAAUUUAACAACUAAAAUAAAACACUUAAAAACAAACAAACAAACAAAAAAAAAAAAACCCUAUAUGUUGAAUUGAGAAUACCCUUUGGGAUAUAAUAUGUGUAUUUUUUAGGAUGCUGAUCAUUGUUUUUAUUUUUCUCAUGGAUUAAGAACUGCUUCAAAGACAUUCUUUCACUUUUGGUUUUAUUGUUUAUUUUAAGAGUUGGAUUUUUAGGAGAGUAUGAUAUUGCUCAUUUCAACAGGUGUGGAAACUCAGUAUUAAUCAAGUAAAGUAACUUGUUUAAAAUGAAUCAACAAAUCAGUAAUAUAUAUUCUACUCAAGUCUCAAAGUUUAGUUGAUCGUAUAUUUCUCUAGCUUUUUCUGAUAUAGAAUAAAUAUCAAUAGUAACUUAUUAAAGGAAAAAUUAGGUUACAUUGAAAAGCAGGGAGGCAAUAUGGCCACUGAAGUGAAUCAUCUAAUUCUCUGUUUUUUGAUAGAUGGUGAUACAUGGUACAGUGGAGUACUGGGCAUGUCAGAAGGACCCAUGCCAUAAGUGGUUUAUUUAACUUCUCCAAAACUUAGAGGGAUACUAUGUAUGUUAUGUAGAAAACAAUGUAGAUAAUGUACCUCUCUGGGAUCAAGUGAUAUAGAGUAUGCAAAGUACUUUGUAACCUUAAAACUAGUGUAUAUCACUGUCAGCUGCCAUGAUGGCAUGAUAAAUCAUUUUACUUCGUGUACCUCAAGAUUCCUGACUGUGAAGUGAGCUUGCCACCAAAAAUGUCCUAUGUCUCCUAGGGAAGAUCCUAUACAGAUUGUAUGCUAUCGAAUAAAUGAAAAAUAUUUGAACAUGUAAGGACAAUAAUAAAGUAAAUUCUAAAUGAUGAUGGGAAUAUGUAAGUUCAUUAUUUUCCCAUUUCCUUUUUUCCUGCCCAGAUAGGGUCACCAGAUUAUCACUGGUAAUUGUAUGCUUCAGCUAGCACAUAAGCUAUAAUAAUAGCUAAUAUUAUAUGGUGCUUACUAUGUGCUAAGAACUGGUAAGCGCUUUUAUAAUUAUUAUCUGAUUUGAUUAUCAUAACCAUCCUGGGAAGUAAAUGGUAUUAUGAUCUCUAUUUUAUACAUGAGGAAACUGAGGCAAAUGGAGGUAAAAUGACUUGCUCGGGAUCACAUAGUUAAUAAGUGUCCGAGUCCAGAUUUAAUCCCAGAUCUUUUUGUCUCCAGACCAGAUUCAGCCCUCUUAUCCACUCUGCCACCUAAUUGCCUUUAAUAAUUGAAUAUAUAAGUAUUCAGAUCAUGGAUUCUCAACUCUGGAUCCAUGAACUUGGGAGAGGAAAAAAAAAAUUAUAAAACUAAUUGAAAUUUAGCAUUUCCUUCAGUUAUGAAUAUAACAGGCUACAAUCCUUAUUUAAAGAAAGGGUCUGUAGGUUUUACCAGACUGUCAAAGGUAUCCGUGGCACAAAAAAAAUGUUAAGGAAUCCUGCUAUGGCAUUUGGCAGGUACAUUGUCCAGUUGACCUUACAGAUGGUAGCAAAAAACAGAGUGAAUGCCCAUCAUGUGGAGAGUGACUGAAUAAACUUUGGAAUAUAGAUAUAAUAGUAUAUUACACAAUGAAAAUGAGGAAUAUGAGGAAAUCAGAAAACUACAGGAAUAGGAUUCUAGAUUAAGGUUGGACUGGACUUUGGAGGCCAAACUACAGGAAUAGGAUUCUAGAUUAAGGUUGGACUGGACUUUGGAGGCCAAGUCCAACCCCCAUAUUUUACAGAUAGGAAACUGAGGCAUAAAAAGAUCAAUUUGUCCAUAAAUUUUUCCAGGGCUAAUAAAUCUUUGAGGCAGAAUUUGAAAAUAAUGUCCUGAUAUUCAUCAAUUGAUGCAGAGUGAAAGAAGCAGAACCAAAGAACAAUAAUUUAAAGGAAAUGAGCAGAGACAGCUAGAUGGUUAGUGGAUAGAGUGCCCAGCCUGAUGUCAGGAGGACCUGAGUUCAAAUUCAGUCUCAGACACUUAAUUUUCCUCGCUAUGUGACCCUGGGCAAGUCACUUAAUCCCAUUUGCCUCAGCAAAAAAAAAAGAAAAGAAAAGAAAUGAGCACUCAAAGAAAACCAGACUUGAUAAUUAGAAAACAAGUAAUGGUCUCAGAAAAUGAAAUUAACUAUAUUUCUUUCCUCUCAUCAAAGAGACAGGCAAGAGAAAACUACUAGGGCAUAAUGUGUGUGUUAUUAGACAUGAUUUGGUUUUGGUGGUGGAGUUAUUUCCAGAAAUAACAUUGAAAACCAAAGGCAGUAAGACUUUAGGAAAGGAAAAAAGGUUGGGAAAACAGGGGAUACAACUACAGUAAAGCCAGCCACAUUUAGACUAUAACAGCAGUCUUAAUAUCAGAUAAGGCAUAAAACCUGUUGAAUAAAAACAUUAUGCAAUAUACUGUACAGAUGGACAUGGAGAUAAGAUCAAGUCCUUCAAAUAUUUUUGUUUGGGAUAACAUUGCUACAAGUCCCAGAACAUUGAAUUAGCUUCCUGAAGGAGAUCAAUAUUCAUUCUAACCUUAACUGGCCACAACAGAAAAAUCAAGGGGAUAAAGAGUACUUGUUCAAAUUGAUAAGAGUAAGCUUACAGAAUUGAUGUAUUAGUAUUUUUAUCUUAUGUAGACACUUGAGAGAGUCAGUAAGCUUGGGUGUGUAAUUGAAUAGAUGGGGGGAAGUGGACUGGAUUUCAUUUUGGAAGUUUUAUAGUGUUUUUAAUGACCCUGGGUUUUCUCUAAAACAAAAGUUUGUCUUUUUAAAUACCAGUAUUCUUAUGCUACAGCAUGACUUUGGAUCGUGGAAUGCCACAGUCUUCAUAUAAUUAAAAUUGUGAGUCAUCCAUACAGCAAUGGAUAAAUUCUUAAUAGGUAUGAAUAGAUGAUCUCCUUGUGCCCCCCCCCCAAAAAAAAAAAAAACUAUGACAAAAAUUAUACAAAAAACAUUGAAGAUUAUACAGCCAGGUUAAAAAUGGGGCAAUUAAAUCAUGAGACUGAGUAGUAAUCAAUGGAUGGCCAAUUGCCAUUCAUGCCCACAUGAUGUCAAAAUCUAAAGCCAGAGCUUCCUUACCUGAAGUCCAUGAAUAGAUUUCAGGAAGACUGUGUACUUGGAUGGGGGAAAAGUUAUAUCUUUCUUUUUAUUAAUCUAACAUUUCUUGAAGGCAGCAAAUUUGCAAUAAUAUUUGGCUUCAUUAGUUUUCCAAAGGCAUUUAUGACAGAGAUUUGGAAUCCCUAAUGUCAAGAAAGGCCCCCCAAUUGCAUUGUGUAAGCCUCCUUCCAGAAAUUUAUAAAAACAUAUAAUCAGCAUUUACACAGAUCAGGUUGAUAUGGGUAAAUUUCAUACCAUCACAGGAAAUGUCUCCAUCAGAGAUCACAGAUCCCUAAAAAAUCCUAUUCCUAAUUUUUGGCUAGUUUAACACAGACUUGAAGAAUUUCUAACUUUUUAAAUAGCAAAUAGUUUUUAAAAUAAAAAAAAAAAACAACUCUCAAAACAUGUUUUAUUCCCUUUUAAUUUAGUAAUAGCUGCCAAGAAGACCAAUCUAUGUGUAUCUAUGCAAUCAGUAUUUUCUUUUUUUAAAUAAGUUCUUGUUGACCUCUUAGGUUUUUUCACAUUACAAUAAUUUGCUCCAGGAAGCCUCCCCCAUAAAAUAACAAAUAAUAACAAGAAUGGGGAGGGGAAAUUAGUAUAACUAAGCAGUAUAUCCCAAAAAAAGUCUUUAAAAAAAUGUAAUGUACUAAAUUUAUUCAUGGACCUCCCAUUUCUGGAAAGGGAGAGAAUGUCUCAUAUCUGUCUUUGAAGCCAUACUUAGUCUUUGUAAUUUUUAGGACAUUUACUUUUUGAUUUUGGAGAAUCAUUGUGUAAUGUUGUUUUCUGGGCUUUUCGCUCUGUAUCACUUCAUGUAGAUUUCAUUAUGCUUCUCUGUAUUCAUCAUAUUUGUUAUUUCUUACUGCACAGUAAUGUUACAUUAUAUUCAUGUACCAUAUUUGGCCAUCCAUCUACUUUGUUUCCAAUUCUUUGCUAUCACUGAAAAUACUGCUGUAAA